GCUUCCCGGGGAAACCGGAGCUAAUACCGGAUAACAUUUUGAACCGCAUGGUUCAAAAUUGAAAGAUGGUUUCGGCUAUCACUUACAGAUGGACCCGCGGCGCAUUAGCUAGUUGGUGAGGUAACGGCUCACCAAGGCGACGAUGCGUAGCCGACCUGAGAGGGUGAUCGGCCACACUGGGACUGAGACACGGCCCAGACUCCUACGGGAGGCAGCAGUAGGGAAUCUUCCGCAAUGGACGAAAGUCUGACGGAGCAACGCCGCGUGAACGAUGAAGGCCUUCGGGUCGUAAAGUUCUGUUGUUAGGGAAGAACAAGUACCAGAGUAACUGCUGGUACCUUGACGGUACCUAACCAGAAAGCCACGGCUAACUACGUGCCAGCAGCCGCGGUAAUACGUAGGUGGCAAGCGUUGUCCGGAAUUAUUGGGCGUAAAGCGCUCGCAGGCGGUUUCUUAAGUCUGAUGUGAAAGCCCACGGCUCAACCGUGGAGGGUCAUUGGAAACUGGGAAACUUUGAGUGCAGAAGAGGAGAGUGGAAUUCCACGUUGUAGCGGUGAAAUGCUAAGAUAUUGUGUAGGAUAUAUUUUUUGU
rnacentral:rRNA from 1 species